rnacentral:lncRNA from 1 species
ACAACAUCCACCGUAUAUCACAUUAGGGUGAAGAACACGAUGCCUUGCCCACUUAAAAAAUUCACCAUUGCAUUUUUGGGUAUGUUGGAGUUACACAACGAAAUGCAACUGAAAAGAAGUACUGGGCAGAGCCCAAGACGGCACAUCGAGCCAUGAACAAAUUGGUGUUCUCUCUUCUUUGCUGGUACGUAGCAUGAGCCAGGCUGCUGUGCUUGGAUGGAAGCAGCACUCAUCUCAUCUGUUACAUUGCACUAAAGGACAAGCAAAAAACCGAAGGAGAGGGAGGUUACUGGAAGUGUGGGACACAGAAUUACGGAACCUCAGGUGUUGGAAAGGACCUCUGGAGAUCAUCCAGUCUAACCCCCUGCUUCAGCAGGUUCCCUACAGCAGAUCACACAGCUAGGCAUCCAGGACAAAAUUAUCUAAAACAGUGUGUCCUUGAGGACAGAACUGCUGAGGGCUCUCUAUGGAAAUCUAUGAACAAAGUGAACACUGAUUUUGGAGGAAGAGAGGCAAAAAGCAAGAAAAGACCAUGGAUUAGAGAAGUAAAGAUUGAAAGGGCAAGGAGGAAAUGAAAGGCCUCAGCUCAAUUCUGUAGUGAAUCAACAACCUUUCUCAAAGAGGAAAAAAGAAAACUAGCAUGUAUGGCUAGAAAGUGGCUAGAUGGUGUCACAGAACUCAAGAAUGAGAAAGUUCUGAGAAUACAACCUCACACUGCACCUCCUGGUGAAGAAUGAGACCAUCUUGUUUGAAGAGAUGAAAUGAAUUCACUACUGAUAUAAGGAGGUGCAGGUUUCCUCACUUAAGACAGAGGAUUAGGAACCAUGUGAAGGAUUAUGCAGGUAAGUAAAGAAAAAUCACAUAGCUCAUUUUAACUUACUCCUCCUGUCACUGAAAAAAAACAGG